AGCGGAUUUUAGUCCCAGGGCUA
rnacentral:siRNA from 1 species